rfam:Salmo salar isolate Sally breed double haploid chromosome ssa16, whole genome shotgun sequence.
UGAUUCCAAUUUUGUAAGUCGCUCUGGAUAAGAGCGUCUGCUAAAUGACGUAAA